rnacentral:lncRNA from 1 species
GUAAGAUGAGAGAGGAGGGAAACGUGUCACCAGCCCGGCUGUGGGAGCUCCGCGGCCGAAGCGUUUGUUGACUCGCGCUGGAGAGGAACCGAGGCUGGACGGGACCCCAUCUGAGGGCAGAGCUGGGGGAGGAGGGAGGGACGGAGGGAGGGAGAGCUGGGCAGAGCGCGACGGGGAGAACCAUCCAGGUCGCUCAUUUCUCUCCGGUGAGAAAACUUCCUCGGGAAGACCGGAAACUUUUUCCUAGGCGCGCGGAGUCUGGGGCGGAGGCGAGCGGCGGGUGUGCGCGACUCGGGGUGAUUCACGCCGGGGACCCCAAGGAGAGCUAGACCCAAUACAGAAUUGAUUUGAAAAACAGUGUGUGAGUUCCUCUGAAAGAUCCUUACAAUGUCUAAUGUUCAUCAUUAAAGUUUAUGGCCUUUGUAGAUUAAUCCUCGGAUUUCAUGUACGGGAGAGAGAAAGAGAGAAAAAAAGCAAAGAUGUCUUUGAGGAGACCACAUCGACUGCUGCCAUCAUUUUGGAGAACUGUUUCAUC